rnacentral:rRNA from 1 species
GAGGCAUGCAACGGCUGUCGCUGACCAAAAGUCGUGCACGCCAGGGUGUGUCCUCUCACAUAAAAUCCAUCUCACCCUUUUGUGCACCACCGCGUGGGCACCCUUCGGGGUCGAACAGAUCCAGGAGGGGGCUCGCGUUUUCACACAAACCCCUUUUUAAAAGUGUAGAAUGACCCCACUUUUGCGAUAACACGCAAUCAAUACAACUUUCAACAACGGAUCUCUUGGCUCUCGCAUCGAUGAAGAACGCAGCGAAAUGCGAUACGUAAUGUGAAUUGCAGAAUUCAGUGAAUCAUCGAAUCUUUGAACGCACCUUGCGCCCCUUGGUAUUCCGAGGGGCACACCCGUUUGAGUGUCGUGAAAAUCUCAACCUUCUCGGUUUCUUCUGAACACCGAAGGAGGCUUGGACUUUGGAGGCCUUUGCUGGUGUCUCUCACCAGCUCCUCUCAAAUGAAUUAGCGGGGUCCUCUUUGCCGAUCCUCGACAUGUGAUAAGAUGUUUCCAUGUCUUGGCUUUAUGGCUCUGUUGCCUUUGGGACCCGCUUCUAACCGUCUCAGCGAGACAACGUUCGAGCGUGUCUCCCUCUCCGGGAAACACUCUUGAACCCACGAAACCUUGACCUCAAAUCGGGUGAGACUACCCGCUGAACUUAAGCAUAUCAAU